rnacentral:misc_RNA from 1 species
CGGCUCACAAAGGCGCGCGCGCCGCCACCCCCAACCUUCCCCCUCCCCCUUCCCCUCCUCCUUCGCCAGCCGUAUCACACAUACGCCGUCACGGACUGAGACCGACGAACUGUGUCGUUGCUUGCUUUCCAUAAACGUCUAUUCUCUUUCUCUUCUUUGGUUGAUAUCGCACACUUGCUGCUACACACACACACACACACACACACGCACUCCUUCUUUUGGUGUGUGCAUGCCUCUCCGGACUGUCCCUCUUUCUCAGUAGCUCCAUCGUCGCCACUGCCACGCAACUCACGCGUCUCUUCAUCCGGCGAAGCACUGUUUUCGUUUACAGUGUACGGUGGAUACUCGGUCUUUGGUGCAGGUGACUACAUCCUCUUUCGCAUCUCCGUCCGCCCCGCUGCGCUGACCCCCCCUCCUACCUGCGUGCCCGCUCUCAUUCCGAUACUCCGACGCGCUUGCACACCCAUUAUGCGCAGCUGCUCGCUGGCACCACCCUCGAUUCCCUUCCUUCACCCCCACUGCCCACGACCACAAUCACCGCUACCACGUACACAGGCCUAUCCCCAUCCAUACACAUUGUGAGGGACCAUAUACUUAUGGAGUCCCACACGGCGGUGACGCCGCCGUCACCAUCAUCACCACCUGCUGCUGAUGCUGCAGUUUUGAACGGGGAUGCCAGGGCAACGGCCACCCGACACUUCCACGUGCAACGCAGCAACGGUGGCGUCAGUGCCCUGGACCACGACAGCACCAGCAGCGAGCGGAUCGCUGCGCCUGUGAGCGAGUUGGAGCCCACAGCCACGGCAGCGAGCUCCAUGAACGCGGCGGUGCCCCACGGUGCCACCCACCCCACCGCGCGUCCUGCAGUGGAUGCGGAGCAGUACUACCAAAACUUGUCUUCUCAAGCCGGCGAGGAGCCGUCGAGGGCAGACGUUGCGACCGCCGCGGUGGGGCGAAACGGUGACCUGCGUCGCGACAGCCCACAGCGGCAGCACCGCUCUGUCGCCCAUCUGCACGCAGAAACCGUCGCAGUCGAGGACAGUACCCCCUGCCCGCACCGGGCGGGCCGCCACCAUAAUCAUCACCACUGCCACCGCGCUCAUCGCCGUACCCAUCAUAGCCACCCAGCAAGAGCGAGGAAAGCGGUGGUACCCAAAGCCACUACUACCACUGCUGCUGCGCCAGCUGCUGACACGCACCCGCGUACCUUCUCCCAAGACCUGCUCCUGGUCCAGCACUCCGGCACGAGCGACAGGAGUGGCAGUCGCGACUCUAGCUGCCCUUCUAGCAGCAACAGCGGCAAUCACAGCACUCGCAGCUACGACACCUUCACAGCAGACUGCAGCUCGGCCACGAGCUUCAUAUCCCUCCAGACCCCGGUUAACUUGAUCGACACGACAUACCAAACGUUGCUUUCUCCGGAGCUGUCGCGGCUCAAUCGCGAGGCCAUCGUGGAGCGCAUCGUCGGACAUCGCCCGCGUGCGUACCACACGUGGGCGUGGCGCAAAGCAAGAGACUACCAGGAGCUGCACGCACUGAACAUUCACAAGAACAGCGCGUAUCAGCAGCCGACCACAGCUGCUGGUCGCUCCAUAGUGAUGGAAGCCGGGGCAGGGGGUGUGACCACGGCGCGCCUGCACGCCGCCUUCAAGGUGUCGCCGACAGCCUCCUCGCCGCCGCCGCUGGGUGACGUCGCCGGUGGUGUCUCCCUGGGCAGCGGGAAGGCGUCGUUGGAGACACCACUGCCGACCGCGCCGUCGGACCCGUCCUCGAGUCCAGUCGCCCGCGUCGUCGGGCUUGCGGACGCCGGGGAAGGCGUGAGCGACGCUGGAAGGUGCGCCAUGGCGGAGAGUUUGGCCCACACAUCGACCACCGCCGCACCGCCGCCGCCGGAGUCCCCUCCGGGUUCACAUUUCUUGCCGACGACCGGCAGCUCCGACAAGGUGGCCGGUGGUUCGAGGCUACCACACACCUCUUCCUCCGCUUCAAUCGAUAUGCCCUGUGAACUGAUGAGCCAGCUCCCCAUGUAUACGAUACCGACGUCGCAACAGGGGCCCGAGUACUUCAAGACGGCCGCCCAGGGCGGCAACAACACGCUGAUCAUCGUCAUGAUGGGCCUGCCCGCCCGCGGCAAGACAUUCCUGGCGCAAAAAAUUUGCCGGCUGCUGGGGUGGCACGGGAGCCGCGCGAAGAUGCAGAACAUCCAGGUAGCGUGGCGCCGCAUGCUGCUAGACUGGGAGGCGGCGCACCCAGAGAUGGCGGCUUGCGGCGCGCACGCAGAAGCAGAGCAGGAGAAGGAGCAGGAGCAGGAGGCAAGUGCGCCCGCUCGUGAAGGGAUCGUCGCCGACGAGGUGCUGUCUGGCGAGCGAGGCGCCUCCCAUGGGAUUCCGCGACCUACAGGAACGCCAGCUGACGAGGGCACCACCACAGCCUCUUCACCGGCUGCUGCGAGCAUAGCGCCGGCACCGCCCGCGUUUACUCGGCCAAACUGUCUUGCGCACACCAGCUCGACACCGGCCGCGCGCGACUUGGCGACGGGGUCCCUGAACGCAUCCGCGCGGUGUGCUGUGACUGCAAGCCUGAGCAGCGGGUCCGCGCUGACUUCAUCCACGCCCUCUGCGACGAAGACUACUGCGGCGACAGCCACCACCGCGAACGCCGCUUUCACAGCAGGGUACGGCUACACCUGCACCCUCUCCGACACUGGCGUCGCUGCAGGGCCACUGACGUCCGCGAGCACCUCCAUUGUCUGCCUCGACUGCAGCGCAUCACCCGUGUGCCCGUCCAUGCAGGCGCACACGGCCUCCUCGCUCGAGGACAGCACCGCGAUACCCGCAUCAGACGUUGCUUCUGCCUCUUUAUUAUCAGGGACGCGCUUCCCCGCUCACGCGGUGGCCGACGUCACCGCGAAUGGCCCGCGUGGUCUCGUCGCACGGCACUCGUCGACUGCCGCCAUGUCAGCGGAGACGACGAGCGACGGCGGCGGGCCGAGCCUCGAGGCUUCUGCAGGGGCGUCGCCGCGCACGGCUGCCGGCGUCGACGGCUUCCCGCCGCCGCCGCCGGAGGUGCUGCGCACUCGGCACUUCCGAGAGCUCAUCGAGCAGCCUACGAGCGUCGCUCGGCGCCUGUACCGCUACGCGCUGCAGAGAUUUGCAGAGGACUGCCGCCUCUUCUUCCAGCACGGCGGCGAGGUGGUUGUGUUGAACGACGACUUCAUUACAGAGGAGCUGAGGCAGGAGGCGGAGGCGCUGUUCCGCCCACUGGCGACGCAGUUCUUCUACAUAGAGGUGAUCCGAGACGCCGAGGAGGACCCGCUCGACUUCGUGCGGUGCAAGAUUCGCGAUCCGAUGGAGUAUCCGCUCAGCGUCAUCGACCCCGCGUCGGCCUCUGACGACUUCCGCGAGCGGCUGGCAUUUUUGGAGAGCGUUUACGAGACGCUGACGGAGGCUCCCAAUACGAAGAAGAACGCGCUACAGACGCCAACCGCGCGUGCUGCUGGGGCUGCCGCGAGCGCCGACAUCGCGAAUGGCCUCGAUGCCAAGGCGUCGGUCGAGCGUGACACGGGGCUUGCCUGCCCGCCCACGACGUCGCCGGAGUCAACGCACCACCGGCAGCAGUCGACGCGGACGCGCGGCUACGUGAAGAUCAUGAACUCGAGCACGAUUGAGACCCACGGCAUCUCUGGUUACCUGGCCAGCCGCAUAAUCUCUUACGUCAUGAACCUGUCGCAGGUGAAGAUCCAGCAUCCCAUCUACUUUGUGCUUCACGGCGAGAGCCACUACAACGUGGAGGGCCGCAUCGGUGGCAACCCGCCGCUCACGGAACAGGGCAUGCGGGACGCUGUGGCGCUGCUCGAGUUCCUUGACUCGCUGAAGCGCCACCUCGAACACGUGGACCGUGUGCAGCGCGCACAUCAUCACAAUCAACAACGCCUUCGCUCGGGAGCGGCCGGCAACGACGAGGGCAGCAGCACGGCAGCUGAAGCUUCUCCAAACACGGCCAGUACGCUGGAGAUGUGGACAAGCCAGCUGCGGCGCGCCAUUCAGACCACUGAACUGAGCGAGCGUCUGCUGAACAUCCGCACGCUGCGCUGGAGCAGCCUCAACGAGAUCCACGCCGGGGUAUGCGAGGACAUGACGUACGCCGAGGUGAAGGAGCGCUACCCGCUCAUCGACUACUUUAGCAAGCUCAACAAGUACAGCUUCCGGUACCCCGAGGGCGAGAGCUACCAGGACCUCGUCAUUCGACUGGAGCCCGUCAUCAUGGAGCUCGAGAACGCCGACAAGGUCGUUGUCGUCGUGGCGCACCAGGCAGUGCUGCGCUGCUUGCUUGCCUACUUUGGCAGCACCUCGGCGGAGAGCAGUAUCGGUGUCGAGGUGCCGCAUCGCACGGUUUGGCGCUGCACGUACGAUUCGAAGGGGAUCGCCAUCCUGGAUGAGUUGAAGCUGGACAGCAAUGAGGCGGGCUUCCACCUUCCGAGAGGAGAGGGCUCGCCAACGGCGUCGGCAGCGAACGCGUCGAGCGCCUGAGACAGCGAUGAUUGAAGGGCUCCGUCGCCCCUCCCUUCUCUACUGACCUCCGCGGCAACGGAAGGAGGGCACGAAGCAAGCGCCGCCAGCCAUUGUGUGUGUGUGUGUGUAAGACGGCUGCGCCUCAUGAAGCUGUGGGUGGCACGAAAUGCGGGCAUGUCGGCAGUGCCCUCACCACCCACAGCCCUCCCUUCGCCUUCCACGGAAGACGCUACGCGUGUCCAUGUGUGAGGGAGAGCGCGCGCGGCCCACUUAUACUCCGUGUGGUCGUCAUCACCGUUGCCGCCGAUCCCAUCAUCACCACCACCAAACCGCGCCGUCCGUGUACCGAGCGCGUCUGUUGGCGCCGCCUUCAUAAAGAAAGGCAUAUCAAAAGCGGGCCGUGCUAGCGGGCGAGGCGGAGCAGCGGGCCGCCACAGCCACAGCGCAGACACCAACAAACAUCACAGAGGACUGAAUUGCAGAAGCGACUCACUAGCUCCUCCCCCCUGCCCCCAUCCCGCCCAGCCCCACCACACCUCUUCCUGCUUGUGUAUCUGCCCCAUCGGCACAGGCCACACACACACACGCACAGACACCCUCUGCAGAAGGGCCACUGCCCUUCUCUCUCUACGUAUUUCAUGUGAUUCUUUACGCUCUUUUCGUGCUCUUCCGCCUUACUCGUAUGCUUAUGUAUGUGUGUGAGCUUGCUUGUAUGCGGACGUGUGGAGAUGGCUGUCUGGGUCUGACUGACGGACGGACGGACGGACGGACGGUGUGUAUAUGGAGGGAGGGAGUCUGCUUUCGGGUUUGGAUUUUUCUGGUGUGAUGCUCGUUAUCCUUUUCUCUUUUCGCAUGUGUAUAUGCGUGUGCGGGUAGGCGUUUGUGCGUGUGUCUGCGUUGUGUCUGGCGGCUUCUUGUCGUCAGAGUUGUGCGCGGGGCUCACGCCUUUGCGCGCAAUCUCCCCUCCCGUCCCUCUGACUGCUUUUUGUUCCCCGCAGCCGUGUUGCUCUCUCGCGUGUGCAUGUGCAUGUGCGUGUGCGUGUGUGUGUGUGUGUGCAUCCGCGGCGUAGUCGACGUCGCAUGCGCGCACGCGCAAGCACCUCGCCGUCCUUUUUCUCUCUCUUUCCUUUACGUCUUGCUUUCUUUUUGUAUUUGCGUAGCCCGCCUAUGACAACACGUCGCUCCUUCUUCUUCCUUCCUCCUUCCCCCCUCUCUCUCCCCCUCCUUCCCUAUCACGAUGACUACCACCACUCCGCCAUUGCCUCUCUCUCCGCGUAACGUACACGUCAGCAUUGGCGGAUCAUCAUGCGCAGCAGCUCUCUUGUGCUUUCAUGUUUCGAUUAUGAAUGUCUUCUCCUCCGUCGGGGGCGCACAGGCACCGACACGGACGCUGCGUGCGUGCACGCCUACAUGCACCCGUACACACCCGACUGCACC